GAUGAACGCUGGCUACAGGCUUAACACAUGCAAGUCGAGGGGAAACGACGGGGAAGCUUGCUUCCCCGGGCGUCGACCGGCGCACGGGUGAGUAACGCGUAUCCAACCUGCCUCUGACUGAGGGAUAACCCGUCGAAAGUCGGCCUAAUACCUCAUGGCAUCGUCUGCGGGCAUCCAACGACGAUUAAAGAUUUCAUCGGUCAGGGAUGGGGAUGCGUCUGAUUAGCUUGUUGGCGGGGUAACGGCCCACCAAGGCUACGAUCAGUAGGGGUUCUGAGAGGAAGGUCCCCCACAUUGGAACUGAGACACGGUCCAAACUCCUACGGGAGGCAGCAGUGAGGAAUAUUGGUCAAUGGGCGAGAGCCUGAACCAGCCAAGUAGCGUGCAGGAAGACGGCCCUAUGGGUUGUAAACUGCUUUUAUGCGGGGAUAAAGUGAGGGACGUGUCCUUCAUUGCAGGUACCGCAUGAAUAAGGACCGGCUAAUUCCGUGCCAGCAGCCGCGGUAAUACGGAAGGUCCUGGCGUUAUCCGGAUUUAUUGGGUUUAAAGGGAGCGUAGGCCGUGGAUUAAGCGUGUUGUGAAAUGCAGGUGCUCAACGUCUGCACUGCAGCGCGAACUGGUCCACUUGAGUGUGCGCAACGCAGGCGGAAUUCGUCGUGUAGCGGUGAAAUGCUUAGAUAUGACGAAGAACUCCGAUUGCGAAGGCAGCUUGCGGGAGCACAACUGACGCUGAAGCUCGAAAGUGCGGGUAUCGAACAGG
rnacentral:rRNA from 1 species